GAUGAACGCUAGCGACAGGCCUAACACAUGCAAGUCGAGGGGCAGCACGAAUCAAGCUUGCUUGAUUUGGUGGCGACCGGCGCACGGGUGCGUAACAGGUGUGCAAUCUGUCCAUAAUCGGGGAAUAGCCCAGCGAAAGUUGGAUUAAUGCUCCAUGUGAGUUUUAGAGGCAUCUCUUUAAUUUGAAACGCAAGGAUUAUGGGUGAGCACGCUUCUGAUUAGGUAGUUGGUGAGGUAACGGCUCACCAAGCCGACGAUCAGUAGGGGUUCUGAGAGGAAGGUCCCCCACAUUGGAACUGAGACACGGUCCAAACUCCUACGGGAGGCAGCAGUGAGGAAUAUUGGUCAAUGGACGAAAGUCUGAACCAGCCAAGUCGCGUGAAGGAUGAAGGUUCUAUGGAUUGUAAACUUCUUUUGUCUGAGGGUAAAAAAGCGGACGUGUCCGUUCUUGCAAGUAUCAGACGAAUAAGCAUCGGCUAACUCCGUGCCAGCAGCCGCGGUAAAAC
rnacentral:rRNA from 1 species